AGACACCCGCCCGUGCACAAUGGCCGGUGCACUCGCAGGGGCCCACGCGGCUGCUCAACCCGGCCGAAGGCCCCGCGGCUGGGCCUCAGGCGCUCGGGCGGGGGAGGCCCGAAGCCAGCAGCCCGCCGCCCCGGAACCAGCUGCUGGACGCUUGUGCUGGGGCUGCUCGCCCCCCAGCGGGGCCCUGGGGUAGCGGCUGCCAGCGGCCAGGAGCCCGUUAACCCCUUGGGGAAGUAGAACCUUAGUAGGGAAAGGCUGGAAGGAAAUCCUUCAAGAACCCAACUCCACAGCUCAGUCUGCACUAAUGACUUCCUUCCCUUCGGUGCAAGCACAGCCUGCCCAGCUCCAGCCACAUGAACAAACGCUUCUGGGUCUUAGUGCCACGACAUCAGCUCAUCGCAAAAAGUAAAGAACACAGUUUCAGAGGCACCCAAUGGCUCCUAAGGAAGCAGAGCCAAAAGGAUCUUCAAGAUGAGGUUACUGAGAUUCAGAGGAAUCACUUGCUCAACCAAGACCACACAUAAAGAGUAUGAUGAGACUGGAAUUCAGACCUACAAGGAACUUACUCCAAAGCAUAUGCCCUUUUGAUGAAAUGAGAUCUUGCUAUGCUGCCCAGGCUCGCCCUGACCUUCUGAGCUCAAGAGAUACUCUUCCCUGUGCCUCUCAAGUAACUAGAACUAUAGGUGUGCAAUACUGCACCCAAUUUCUUAUUAUUUUUUACAAUCAUUGGUAUGAGUACUACUUGUGUUCUACAGUAGACAACAAAAAUAAACAAUAAGCAAAAAGCAAA